rnacentral:rRNA from 1 species
AUUGAACGCUGGCGGCAGGCCUAACACAUGCAAGUCGAGCGGUAACACAGGGAGCUUGCUCCUGGGUGACGAGCGGCGGACGGGUGAGUAAUGUCUGGGAAACUGCCUGAUGGAGGGGGAUAACUACUGGAAACGGUAGCUAAUACCGCAUAACGUCGCAAGACCAAAGAGGGGGACCUUCGGGCCUCUUGCCAUCAGAUGUGCCCAGAUGGGAUUAGCUAGUAGGUGUGGUAACGGCACACCUAGGCGACGAUCCCUAGCUGGUCUGAGAGGAUGACCAGCCACACGGGAACUGCGACACUGUCCAGACGCCUACGGGAGGCAGCAGUGGGGAAUAUUGCGCAAUGGGCGAAAGCCUGACGCAGCGACGCCGCGUGGGGGAUGAAUGGCUUCGGCCCGUAAACCCCUGUCAUUUGCGAACAAACCUUGUUAUUUAAAAGAUGGCAAGUUGAUAGUAGCGAAAGAGGAAGGGACGGCUAACUCUGUGCCAGCAGCCGCAGUAAAAC